rnacentral:misc_RNA from 1 species
GAUGAAGAACGCAGCGAAAUGCGAUAAGUAGUGUGAAUUGCAGAAUUCAGUGAAUCAUCGAAUCUUUGAACGCACAUUGCGCCCCUUGGUAUUCCAUGGGGCAUGCCUGUUCGAGCGUCAUUUGUACCUUCAAGCUUUGCUUGGUGUUGGGUGUUUGUCCCUCGGGACUCGCCUUAAAGUCAUUGGCAGCCAGUGUUUUGGUUUUGAAGCGCAGCACAAGUCGCGAUUCAAGGCUAUCCGCCCGCUUCCACAAGCCUUUUUCACUUUUGACCUCGGAUCAGGUAGGGAUACCCGCUGAACUUAAGCAUAUCGAUAAGCGGAGGA